GACGAACGCUGGCGGCGUGCUUAACACAUGCAAGUCGAACGGGCCCGCUCUCUUUUUUGGGGGUGGGUUGAGUGGCGAACGGGUGAGUAUCACGUGAGUAACCUGCCCCCUGCUCCUGGAUAACUGCUUGAAAGGGCGGCUAAUACGGGGUGUGCCGGCUGGUCCGCAUGGGCCGGGCGGGGAUGGUUCAAUCUCGGGGGGUUCGGGGGGGGGUGGGGCUCGCGGCCUUUCAGCUUGUUGGGGGGGUGAUGGCCCACCAAGGCGGUGACGGGUAGCCGGCCUGAGAGGGUGGGCGGCCACACUGGGACUGAGACACGGCCCAGACUCCUGCGGGAGGCAGCAGUGGGGGGUAUUGCACAAUGGGCGGAAGCCUGAUGCAGCGACGUCGCGUGAGGGAUGGAGGCCUUCGGGUUGUGAACCUCUUUCUCCGGUGGUGAAGGCCCUGUCCGUUGCGGCGGGGUUGACGGUAGCCGGGUAUGAAGCGCCGGCUAACUACGUG
rnacentral:rRNA from 1 species